rnacentral:lncRNA from 1 species
CUGCUUUCGCCUUCCUUCUUUGGAAAGUCCAUCCGAGUCUUGUGUUUCCUUUUGCCUUGCUCUCGCUUCUUUUGAAAUCCUUUCCUCUUCUUCUUCUCUGUCUUUUCCUUCUUCUUGGUUCUGGUAUCAUGGCCAGGACUUCUCCUCGGGAGGCUCGAUCGGGGGACCCGACCGAUGAUCUUCGGUCGACCCCGGAAGUGGAGGCUUCCUCACUUUCGGGGCCGAAUGUCGAUCGGCUUCGGGAUCAGUAUU